rnacentral:rRNA from 1 species
GCCUGCCCAGUGACUCUGUUCAACGGCCGCGGUAUCCUAACCGUGCGAAGGUAGCGUAAUCACUUGUUCUUUAAAUGAGGACUAGUAUGAAUGGCACCACGAAGGUUAUACUGUCUCCUUUUUCUAAUCAGUGAAACUAAUCUUCCCGUGAAGAAACGGGAAUAAUAAUAUAAGACGAGAAGACCCUAUGGAGCUUUAAACAGAUAUACAAUUGCCUCCAAUACAAAAAAUUUCAGAAAAUAAAUACCCACCCAGGCAUUUUGAUAUAAAGUUUUCGGUUGGGGUGACCACGGAGCAAAAAAUAACCUCCGCAAUGAAAGGGAAUUUUACCCUAAACCCAGGGCUACGACCCUAAGUAUCAAUAAUUUGACACUAAUUGACCCAAUACAUUGAUCAAUGAACCAAGUUACCCUAGGGAUAACAGCGCAAUCCAUUUCAAGAGCUCCUAUCGACAAAUGGGUUUACGACCUCGAUGUUGGAUCAGGGUAUCCCAGUGGUGCAGCCGCUACUAACGGUUCGUUU